CUGAAUCACAAAGAAUCUGCAGCCUGAGCAAGCAAGCCCAGAGCUUAGAAUUGUGUGGUCUGUUUGCUUUGUUUUAAAUGUGUUUUUUGUUGUUGUUGUUUUUACUUUUCCCUCUGAGUGGGAAUAACUCAAUAUUAAAGAUCCCUUCAUGGGAAAUGUUUUCUGUUUUUCCCUAAUGGUGGGAUUAACUCAUUAUUAUUAGUCCCUUCAUGGGAGAAAGAGGGAGUUUAAAUGGGCCCAACUUCUGGUGAAGAACUGUUGUGGUCGGGACAUGGAAUGCUGAGUCGAUGCUGUUUAAAUUUCCAGAGGAGAUAAUAAAUUGGGGAUCCCAUCAAAUUGAUAAAAUUCCCAGCAUGAGCAAGAGACAUCUCCAAGAUGCUGCAGAUGCAGAGAUGCCAAAGUUGAGACAGGAGACCUUUGCAACAAACAACUAAUGCUCUCACCUGGGGACAGCCUAAGAGUUGUUGUGACAAAGGAGAGAAGAUACUUCCCAGGACUCACAAGCCUCUAAAUCCUACAAACUUAUGUCUUGUCAUGCUUUCUGUGAUCACAGUGCAGAGCAAGGCCAACAAUCUGGACACCAAUGAAGCUGUCAAGGCCAUGGUGAGACUCCCCUGUGAUGACCCUGGUACAGAAGCUCACUGAAAGACUAUUAAAAAGAACACGUCGAAUGGUUGGACUGGUUGUUGCAGUUAUUACGGGAAUUAUUGCAUUACAGCCACAGCAGCAGAAAGAAAUCCAGACUGACGAAUUCAUUAGAGACUGGCACAGACAUUCAGAAGAACUUUGGGCUGAACUAAAGAAGAUUGAUAAUGAGCGAGGAAAUGAGUUAGCCGAGUUAAGGCAAGCUGUUGUAUUGUUAGGGGAUCAGUUAGAAAUUUUGAAGGAGCAGAUAAAAUUAAAAAGUGAUUGGAAUGUU